CUGCCCUCGAGCACGGUAGCCUUUCGGGGCUGCCGCCGCCCGGUGUUGGGGCGCUACGGGGAGCCUCGCGCUAUCCCCCGUAGGCCCCGAAAUGAAGUGGCGGUCCCGCCGCGGCGCCCUCUGCGUAGUAGUCUUAACAGCUCGCAUUGGGACCCGGUGGAGGCCAGCCGUCAAACCAAUCUUACAA
rnacentral:misc_RNA from 1 species